GGUGCGCUGUUGGAGCCACAUCACCGCCGUUCCUCACUGUCACCGCCGUGUUUCACCGCCGUCGUUAAACUUCCAUCGCCGUCGCCACUGUCCAACCCGCCGUCAGGGAGAGGCACUUCCAUCAAACCCUAGCCAUCACUAUCGCCUUUGCACGCAAAGAAGGGGCUGGUGCCACUGUUGCCACUAUUGCCGUCGAUUUGGAGUUGCCAUAGACACAAUUGUUUCUACUUCUAGUGCUCAUUCUUCUAACUGUUGGAGUUGCUGUGGAAUGGAGCCACUGGCGGGGUGUUGCUGCUGCCAGAACCACCGGGAAGGAUUGCUGGGAAUCACUGCUGCCCUGUUUUCGUUCUAAUUAGGUUCAACAUCCAUUGGCUUGGAGCUGUUUCUGCCUUUCGAUUCCAUCGAAUUCGAAAUCUUCAUUUCAUUGCAACCAUGGUCAUUGUUGUGGAAGCUAAUGCUACUGCUGUCCCGGUUGUGUUGAGAUGUAGUGCUGCUGCUUUCUGGGCAGAAACGGUUGCGUGACUAGUAGAGGUCCAGCCAGCUGCCUCGCAGCAAUUCUGCCAACGGUCUCUUGUAAUUGCGACAUCGAGUGACACAGGUUUGAAGACGCGAUUUGAAGCUGCGAGCGAUUAGUAGGUUUUUUCUUUAUUGUUUUAAUUGGUCGGGUAGAGUCCCCUCGCUGAUUGUCCCUUGAGAUUUUAUUUCAUAUAGAUGGGUAGGUUUGGUAUAUUGUAUUUGAG